UUGUAAUAUAGUACCAAUAAAACUGAAUUCAAAAUAUAUGUAUUCCGAGUAACUGAAUUCAAACAAAUGGAAAUAUCAUUUUCGUUAAUGGCAUUUUCGGAUUGGAUUACAUUUCUUCUUCAUCAAAGUUCAAAUUAUUUUUUAGAACAUCAAAGAAUCCAAAAAUCCGAACUAUAUUUAACAUAUAGUUUUAUUCAAACAAAAUAAUUUUAUUUUAUUAUUUCUAACAUAAUAUAUAUAGUAGUAUGUAAAAAUUAUUUCAAUUUUUUUGGAUCAAUUUAGAUCGGCAUAAAUCCAAUCCAAAAGCCCAGAACCAAAAAGUUGAGCACAUGAAGCCCAUGCGAUUAUAAAUUACUAAUACAAAAUGAAAAAACUUGAAUUGAAUAAUAGUACUAUUGUUAUCCAGAUAAACCCUGAUCUCAGUUUUGCAGGUAUUGAGUUCAUGAUUCUUCCAAAUUGGCGGCAAAAUCUGUAAGUUCGAUUGUGUAACUUUUCAAUUUCAUUCUGGAACUCGCCCGAAUCCUCCAAUUAGACCAUUUGGCGUCCCCAAUUCCACGCAUUCAAUGCUAUUCCGAAGGAUCUGCUGCUCCAUUUCCAAAUCCUAUCACAACCCAUUUUCCCUCUCCCCAAUACUGACAAACCCUUCUCGCAAUCCAUCCUCUUAUUCAGUAUAUUCGCCCAAUUUGAAAACCCUAAGAUUAUCGUCGCGAAGAACCAUUUCCGCAACUCCGAACAGUCUCGUUUCAGAAAGCUCCACAAAUUCACAGAUGGAUGACUCCAAAAGACCUCCAAUGGUACCCAUUCCGCACCCUGAUUCUGCGGGCCGGGCCGAAGUUUUCCGGGCUCUCGAAGCCUCUUUGGGGUCAUCAUUCAGCUCUGAACCCAUAAUCCCGGACCCUAACCCUCUGAUAAUCGUGAUUAGUGGUCCAAGUGGUGUAGGAAAAGAUUCUGUGAUUAAGAGGUUGAGGGAAGUUAGGGAGGAUUUGCAUUUUGUGGUCACGGCAACUAGCCGGACGAAACGGGAGGGAGAAGUUGAUGGCAAAGAUUACUAUUUUAUGAGUAAAGAGGAGUUUUUGUCGAUGAUUGAGAAAAAUGAGCUGUUGGAGUACGCAAUGGUGUAUGGGGAUUAUAAGGGUGUUCCGAAGCAGCAGAUUAGGGAUUACAUGGAGAAAGGGUAUGAUGUCGUGUUGAGGGUGGAUAUACAGGGCGCGGCUUAUUUGAGGAAGAUCUUGAGAGAUAAUGCUGUUUUUGUGUUUUUGGUGGCCGAUAGUGAGGAGGCGCUGGUGAAGAGGCUGAUAGGUAGGAAGACUGAGACGGUGGAGGCUUUGCUGAUGAGAGUUGCAUCGGCUAAGGAGGAGCUAAAGCAUGUGAAGGAGUUUGAUUAUGUGGUUGUCAAUAAGGAGGGUGAGCUGGAGGGUUCGGUUAAGUUGAUGGAAUCCAUCAUUGAUGCGGAGAAGGCGAAGGUGCAGCAGCGUAGAGCAGUGGUUUAGAUAUGGAAUUUUGGCGAUUAGGUCGGUAUUGUUCCUGCUUUGAACUUACUGGGGACAGUUAUGCCGAUAAGGUGGUAAUGUGGCAAUCAAGGUUGUAUCUUUUGAUGGAUCUUCCAGUUCUGAUCAAAUGAAGGCCAAUUUUGCAGUUCUCGUCAUGGAAAAGCACGGUUUCGAAAGGGGACUUAUUCGAGCAUAGAAAAGGGGAUAUAUCACUAUCAAGCUCAUCAGAACAUGGACUGUGAGCUUUCUGAUGCCAUAGAUUACAAGUUCUUCAAGACUAGAGUAUUUAUUGAUUUCUUCUUCCUUGAGUAUGGUUGAAAUUGUGCUACAUGAGUAAUUUUUCAACUGUGCUACAUGAGUAUAUUUAAUUUGUUAGAAUAGCCUCAUACUGCAACAGUUGCUUUGUUAUGAAAUUUUAUAUUUUUGAGUUGGCUGAUGCUGACAAGGAAAGUGGAUAGAUUCUUGAA